CAAUUCUAUUAUAGGAAAUAGGAUGACGGGUCCUUAUUUGAUUCGACACCAAAAGCUAAAUGGUUACUGUGCCUACGGGCGGUUCCUAAGUUCCUUGAAUUUUUUUUUGGGAACUAAAACGUGCUUACGGUACCUAAAAAUGUCCCAAAUAAAUCCAAAAUCAGUUCCAGGGCCUACUCGGCCAAUUUCAAAAAUUCGGCAUGGCGGCUCAAUCGUGCUCUCGUGACAAUGCCUCUGCCCGCGACAGUGAUCCACCUCGGGUUGGCUGUUUUCAGCCAAAUUCAGCUAAAUUUGCAUCGGUUCCUGUGAGAAAACUCACUUAGGGCCGUCGGUGGGCUGAAAAAAUGUAAAAAACUAAAACUCACGGGUAGUGAGGCUCUCCGGUGUGGCGGCUCCUCCGGCUCACGUUGUGGUUGGGUGUUUUGCUCCUGUCAACCUGUAGAGAAGAAAACAGUGAUCACAAGGGUGGAAAAAUCACAUCAAACGGGAAUCGGGAAGGGCCUCAUCAGAGGCAUUUUUUGAAAUACCCUGCGACGGCGUCGUCGGGCUUUGCCAGCAUUUUCUAGCCAAUUGGUCGGUCUUUUUGCUAUGAUUUUAUUAUGGGUGUGUUUAAAAUCAAAUUCUGAGAAAAGAGUUAAAUUUUUACCUCGUUAGGCAGUCAGAAAUUGCUCUAGUGAGGUGGCAAUCGGCUCCCCUGUGGUUGGGUAGUCUUCUCCGACGAGGGGCUCUGGCGGUUAGGGUUAGGGUUUGGGUGUGGAUGAGGUUAUUUAUACCCAUCUACUUUUGAUCUCGGUCAUCCAUUACUUUUAAUCUGGACCGUCCCAUCGCGAUUAAAUAGGGAGUGAAUCUGGACCGUUCAUCACAAUUCAAUUUGGGCCAUCCGUGCGAGAUUCAAUUUGCACCGUCCGUGCGCAAAUCAAUCUGGGAUGUCCAUGCGCGAUCUCAAUAUGGGUCGUCCAUGCACGCGGGAGCGGACCUCAGCCGUUCGAUCGCGCGCACGCGGAUCGCCCACGUGGCCCCCCCAGCGUGGCCUCCCGCGUCAGUGCCUCUGUCACCUGGCAUGCCCUGGUUCGUCGGGGCUGCUGAUCGAGCAUAUAAUGUGGCGCAUUUUUUUUAAAUUGCAUUUUGACCCUUGAUUUUCGAUUUUUCUUUCAAAAAUACCUCCAUAACCCAAAUUUUUACCCUUU
rnacentral:lncRNA from 1 species